rnacentral:lncRNA from 1 species
ACUCAGUGAUGCUUGCGCACGUCUAACUAAUUGUCCCGUAAGGACGAUAGCUGUGAGUAGGCUUUGUACCUGUGGAACCAAGGAAACGUCCGCUGAAUUUGGAAAUUCAGAAGCUGGAUCCUUCCCUCUGAUCCUCUGGGACUGAGGAACUGUACCUUAGGGGGUGCACACCUUGGAAAAAGCACACACCUUCAGUUUGUUGGACAGCAGCAUCAAAAACAAACCAACCAACCAACACCUUAAAAACAUUUAUUUAUUUUAUGGAGGCAUUCUCUGAUUAAAAAAAUGCUAAGACUUUACCAAAGAUUUCACAGGGACACAGAAGACAAGCAGGGAAUGAAGAUCCAGCCUGCCUCCAUCUUAGGCUUAAAAGCCAUCUUAUUAUAAAGACAAAGGAGGUCCAUUCCUAUUUAUGAUUAAACCUCUGUUUUUC